GACGGACGCUGGCGGCGUGCUUAACACAUGCAUGUCGAACGGAAAGGCCCUGCUUUUGUGGGGUGCUCGAGUGGCGAACGGGUGAGUAACACGUGAGUAACCUGCCCUUGACUUUGGGAUAACUUCAGGAAACUGGGGCUAAUACCGGAUAGGAGCUCCUGCUGCAUGGUGGGGGUUGGAAAGUUUCGGCGGUUGGGGAUGGACUCGCGGCUUAUCAGCUUGUUGGUGGGGUAGUGGCUUACCAAGGCUUUGACGGGUAGCCGGCCUGAGAGGGUGACCGGCCACAUUGGGACUGAGAUACGGCCCAGACUCCUACGGGAGGCAGCAGUGGGGAAUAUUGCACAAUGGGCGGAAGCCUGAUGCAGCAACGCCGCGUGCGGGAUGACGGCCUUCGGGUUGUAAACCGCUUUCGCCUGUGACGAAGCGUGAGUGACGGUAAUGGGUAAAGAAGCACCGGCUAACUACGUGCCAGCAGCCGCGGUGAUACGUAGGGUGCGAGCGUUGUCCGGAUUUAUUGGGCGUAAAGGGCUCGUAGGUGGUUGAUCGCGUCGGAAGUGUAAUCUUGGGGCUUAACCCUGAGCGUGCUUUCGAUACGGGUUGACUUGAGGAAGGUAGGGGAGAAUGGAAUUCCUGGUGGAGCGGUGGAAUGCGCAGAUAUCAGGAGGAACACCAGUGGCGAAGGCGGUUCUCUGGGCCUUUCCUGACGCUGAGGAGCGAAAGCGUGGGGAGCGAACAGGCUUAGAUACCCUGGUAGUCCACGCUGUAAACGGUGGGUACUAGGUGUGGGGUCCAUUCCACGGGUUCCGUGCCGUAGCUAACGCUUUAAGUACCCCGCCUGGGGAGUACGGCCGCAAGGCUAGAACUCAAAGGAAUUGGCGGGGCCCCGCACAAGCGGCGGAGCAUGCGGAUUAAUUCGAUGCAACGCGUAGAACCUUACCUGGGUUUGACAUGGAUCGGGAGUGCUCAGAGAUGGGUGUGCCUCUUUUGGGGUCGGUUCACAGGUGGUGCAUGGCUGUCGUCAGCUCGUGUCGUGAGAUGUUGGGUUAAGUCCCGCAACGAGCGCAACCCUUGUUCACUGUUGCCAGCACGUUAUGGUGGGGACUCAGUGGAGACCGCCGGGGUCAACUCGGAGGAAGGUGGGGAUGACGUCAAGUCAUCAUGCCCCCUAUGUCCAGGGCUUCACGCAUGCUACAAUGGCUGGUACAGAGAGUGGCGAGCCUGUGAGGGUGAGCGAAUCUCGGAAAGCCGGUCUCAGUUCGGAUUGGGGUCUGCAACUCGACCUCAUGAAGUCGGAGUCGCUAGUAAUCGCAGAUCAGCAACGCUGCGGUGAAUACGUUCCCGGGGCU
rnacentral:rRNA from 1 species